rnacentral:rRNA from 1 species
UGGGGAAUAUUGCGCANUGGGGGGAACCCUGACGCAGCCAUGCCGCGUGAAUGAAGAAGGCCUUCGGGUUGUAAAGUUCUUUCGGUAUUGAGGAAGGUUGAUGUGUUAAUAGCACAUCAAAUUGACGUUAAAUACAGAAGAAGCACCGGCUAACUCCGUGCCAGCAGCCGCGGUAAUACGGAGGGUGCGAGCGUUAAUCGGAAUAACUGGGCGUAAAGGGCACGCAGGCGGUUAUUUAAGUGAGGUGUGAAAGCCCCGGGCUUAACCUGGGAAUUGCAUUUCAGACUGGGUAACUAGAGUACUUUAGGGAGGGGUAGAAUUCCACGUGUAGCGGUGAAAUGCGUAGAGAUGUGGAGGAAUACCGAAGGCGAAGGCAGCCCCUUGGGAAUGUACUGACGCUCAUGUGCGAAAGCGUGGGGAGCAAACAGGAUUAGAUACCCUGGUAGUCCACGCUGUAAACGCUGUCGAUUUGGGGGUUGGGGUUUAACUCUGGCGCCCGUAGCUAACGUGAUAAAUCGACCGCCUGGGGAGUACGGCCGCAAGGUUA